UACCAUGUCUGGACGUGGCAAGCAGG
rnacentral:piRNA from 1 species